rnacentral:rRNA from 1 species
UCUUAUUAUUGUAACGGCGAACUGCGAACUGCUCAUUAUAUCAGUUUGAAUCUAAUUGGUAAUGUUUUUAUAUGGAUAUUCGUAGUAAUUCUAGGGCUAAUACAUGCUUGUACACCUGACGUUUGGAGGGUGGUAUUUAUUAGAUAAAAAACCAAUCGUGGAGACACCUUUUGUGGUGAUUCAUAAUAACUAAGCGAAUCGCAUUUGCAUUAAGUUGCGGCGAUGUGCCAUUACGGCAUCCUGCCCUAUCAAUUGUCGAUUCCAGGGUCGUGUCCUGGAAUGACGUUGACGGGUGACGGGAAAUUAGGGUUUGAUUCCGGAAAGGGAGCUCGAGAGACCGCUACCACAUCCAAGGAAGGCAGCAGGCGCCAAAAUUACCCAAUGGUGAAUUGCCGAGGUAGUGACAACUAAUAUUAUUGCAGGGCCAAUUUGGUUUUGCUAUGAAAUGAGUGCAAUUUAAAACCCUCAACGAGGAUCAAUUGAAGGGCAAGUCUGGUGCCAGCAGCCGCGGUAAUUCCAGCUUCAAUAGCGUAUAUUAACGUGUGCGGGUUUUAAAAAAAC